rnacentral:rRNA from 2 species
UACGUAGGUCCCGAGCGUUGUCCGGAUUUAUUGGGCGUAAAGCGAGCGCAGGCGGUUAGAUAAGUCUGAAGUUAAAGGCAGUGGCUCAACCAUUGUAGGCUUUGGAAACUGUUUAACUUGAGUGCAGAAGGGGAGAGUGGAAUUCCAUGUGUAGCGGUGAAAUGCGUAGAUAUAUGGAGGAACACCGGUGGCGAAAGCGGCUCUCUGGUCUGUAACUGACGCUGAGGCUCGAAAGCGUGGGGAGCGAACAGG